rnacentral:rRNA from 1 species
AAGUAGGGGAUCGUAAGACCUUGCGCUUUUGGAGCGGCCGAUGUCUGAUUAGCUAGUUGGUGGGGUAAUGGCCUACCAAGGCUUCGAUCAGUAGCUGGUCUGAGAGGACGGCCAGCCACACUGGGACUGAGACACGGCCCAGACUCCUACGGGAGGCAGCAGUGGGGAAUUUUGGACAAUGGGCGCAAGCCUGAUCCAGCCAUGCCGCGUGAGUGAAGAAGGCCUUCGGGUUGUAAAGCUCUUUCAGCCGGGAAGAAAAGGUUGCGAUUAAUAAUCGCAAUUCAUGACGGUACCGAAAGAAGAAGCACCGGCUAACUACGUGCCAGCAGCCGCGGUAAUACGUAGGGUGCGAGCGUUAAUCGGAAUUACUGGGCGUAAAGCGUGCGCAGGUGGUUUUGUAAGUCAGAUGUGAAAUCCCCGGGCUUAACCUGGGAACUGCGUUUGAAACUACAAAGCUAGAGU